rnacentral:rRNA from 1 species
AAUAGAUACCCGGGUAGUCCACGCCGUAAACGAUGAAUGCUAGGUGUUAGGGGUUUCGAUACCCUUGGUGCCGAAGUUAACACAUUAAGCAUUCCGCCUGGGGAGUACGGCCGCAAGGCUGAAACUCAAAGGAAUUGACGGGGACCCGCACAAGCAGUGGAGUAUGUGGUUUAAUUCGAAGCAACGCGAAGAACCUUACCAGGUCUUGACAUCCCCCUGACUGGCGCAGAGAUGUGCCUUUCCUUCGGGACAGGGGAGACAGGUGGUGCAUGGUUGUCGUCAGCUCGUGUCGUGAGAUGUUGGGUUAGGUCCCGCAACGAGCGCAACCCUUGACUUUAGUUGCCAGCAAGUAAGGUUGGGCACUCUAGAGUGACUGCCGGUGACAAACCGGAGGAAGGUGGGGAUGACGUCAAAUCAUCAUGCCCCUUAUGACCUGGGCUACACACGUACUACAAUGGCCGGUACAACGGGAAGCGAAGGAGCGAUCUGGAGCGAAUCCUUGAAAGCCGGUCUCAGUUCGGAUUGCAGG